GACAGAGGGGGCUAGCGUUGCUCGGAAUCACUGGGCGUAAAGGGUGCGUAGGCGGGUCUUUAAGUCAGGGGUGAAAUCCUGGAGCUCAACUCCAGAACUGCCUUUGAUACUGAGGAUCUUGAGUACGGGAGAGGUGAGUGGAACUGCGAGUGUAGAGGUGAAAUUCGUAGAUAUUCGCAAGAACACCAGUGGCGAAGGCGGCUCACUGGCCCGUUACUGACGCUUAGGCACGAAAGCGUGGGGAGCAAACAGG
rnacentral:rRNA from 1 species